rnacentral:rRNA from 1 species
CAGUCGCCGCGGUAAUACGAAGGGUGCAAGCGUUAAUCGGAAUUACUGGGCGUAAAGCGUGCGUAGGCGGUUUGUCAAGUCUGCUGUGAAAUCCCCGGGCUCAACCUGGGAAUGGCAGUGGAUACUGGCAAGCUAGAGUGUGUCAGAGGAUGGUGGAAUUCCCGGUGUAGCGGUGAAAUGCGUAGAGAUCGGGAGGAACAUCAGUGGCGAAGGCGGCCAUCUGGGACAACACUGACGCUGAGGCACGAAAGCGUGGGGAGCAAACAGGAUUAGAUACCCCUGUAGUCCCUGUCUCUUAUAC